ensembl:lncRNA
AAAUGGGGGAUUUUUCAAGAGAAAAUGUGUGAUUUUCAGUUAAAUCGCGGCAUCUCUAAGAGAAAAUGCCUGAUGUUUGCAUUAAAUGUGUGAUUUUCAGGUUACAUGGGAGAUUUUUGAGGAGAAAAUGCGUGAUUUUCGGGAUAAAUGAGGGAUUCUUGAAGAGAAAAUGCGUGAUUUUCGGGUUAAAUGGGGGAUUCUGGAAGAGAAAUGGCAUUUUCUUCUGGUUAAAUGGGGGAUUUUCGAAGAGAAAAUGCACGAUUUUCGUUUACAGGUGAGAUUUUUGUAGAGGAAAUGCGUGAUUUUUUGGAUACAUGGGGGAUUCCUGUAGCAAAACUGUUUGAUUUUGGGGUCCAAUGGGGGAUUUUUGAAGAGCAAAAGUGUGAUUUUCGAGUUAAAUGGGGGAUUUUCCAAGAGAAAAUGCGUGAUUUUGGGGAUGAUGGUGUAUUUUUGAAGAGAUAAAGCAUGAUUUUGGGGUAAAAGCGUAUUUUCCGAGAGAAAAGGCGAGAUUUUGGGGUUAAAAGGGGGAUUGUUGAAG